rnacentral:misc_RNA from 1 species
GAUGAAGAACGCAGCGAAAUGCGAUAAGUAAUGUGAAUUGCAGAAUUCCGUGAAUCAUCGAAUCUUUGAACGCACAUUGCGCCCUCUGGUAUUCCAGGGGGCAUGCCUGUCCGAGCGUCAUUGCUGCCCUCAAGCACGGCUUGUGUGUUGGGCCCCGCCCCCCGGCUCCCGGGGGGCGGGCCCGAAAGGAAGCGGCGGCACCGCGUCCGGUCCUCGAGCGUAUGGGGCUUCGUCACCCGCUCCGUAGGCCCGGCCGGCGCCCGCCGGCGACCCCCCUCAAUCUUUUCAGGUUGACCUCGGAUCAGGUAGGGAUACCCGCUGAACUUAAGCAUAUCAAUAAGCGGAGGA